rnacentral:rRNA from 1 species
CCUACGGGAGGCAGCAGUCGAGAAUCAUUCACAAUGGGGGAAACCCUGAUGGUGCGACGCCGCGUGGGGGAAUGAAGGUCUUCGGAUUGUAAACCCCUGUCAUGUGGGAGCAAAUUAAAACGAUAGUACCACAAGAGGAAGAGACGGCUAACUCAGUGCCAGCAGUCGCGGUAAUACAGAGGUCUCAAGCGUUGUUCGGAAUCACUGGGCGUAAAGCGUGCGUGUGCUGGUUCGUAGGUCGUGUGUGAAAGGCACGGGCUCAACCCCCGGACGGCACAUGAUACUGCGAGACUAGAGUAAUGGAGGGGGAACCGGGAUUCUCGGUGGAGCAGUGAAAUGCGUAGAUGUCGAGAGG